AUCCUCAAAAACACAUGACCCUGAUUCCUUCGCAACUCUACUAGAUCCCCACCGCAAGCUGUUGUGUUUUCCCGCCGUCGUUCUUACUCGUCGUUGGUUCGCCUUGCUGUUGACCCAACAAUUUCUCACGCCGUUGCAUGUUUGCGCACCUCGAAGAAGGGUGCAGCCGUUUCUAGAAAAAGAAGCCUUCAAGCCAUCAGAGGCGAUGGGUUAGGAAAAACAGAAGAUUGAAGUUAGUGAAGCAUCCUCAUAUUGAAUGUCACUGAGGGAAGACAAUGAAGUGGAAAUGGUAUUAAAGAAGGGUCUCUCUACAAUGCUUAUGAAGGAACUUUCAAUGGUGUUGAUGAAGUGACUCUCAAUGUUGCUGAUGAAGGUGAUAUUAAUGGUGGUGAUGAAAGUGAUAAUGGUACUGCUAAGUCCACUACAGAAGGAGCUGAUGUUGGAAUUGAAGGUGCAGAAGAUGCGGUUGCUGAAUGUAAUGCAGAAGAAGACAGUACUGAUAAUGAAUUUGUGGAUAGUGACUACGUUAUGAAGAUGAUGAUCGUGAUGUAAUAGAUGAAACAAGUGUAGAUACACUGAUUGGAGAAGAUCAUUGAGGUGAAGGGUUUGGUAAUGGUGGAGAUGGUGACAACUAAAAUACUGAUGAAGUUAUUAAUGCAAGGGAUCUAAAAGAUGUUCCCCUUGAUGAUGGAAAAAAAGACUUAGAUGGCCUGCACAGUGUUGAUGAAUUAGGUUAUGAGGUUGAUGAAAGGGUCAUAUACCUGAGUUCAAUGAAGAAGCUAACAUGGAUGAUCCAAAAUUUGAAAAAGGGCUGAAGUUCAGAGAUGCUUCGCAGUUGAGAGAGGUACUAUGGUCACACUCCAAUUAGCAUGGUGCUCUUUCAAUUAGGCUGAAAAUGAAUAAGAAGUGGAAGAUAAGUGCAAAGUGUGCAACAAACUGCAGGUGGAAAUUGUAUGCUUUCAGGAUAGGGAUGACAAUUAUAACCGUUAAACUCGAUAACCAUGGAUAACCGUCAAAAUAGAUUGGAUUUGGAGUGUGAAAAUUGGGGUAUAUUUUGAAUAUGAAGAAAAACCAUGAAUAUUAUUCGGUUAUGAUUUUGGAUAUGGUUAUAGAGGUACCUAAUCCGUAUUCGUCCUCAAAUCUGAAUUGAACAAUAUAUAAUAUAAUUAUAUACAAUAA